rnacentral:lncRNA from 1 species
GGCAUCGUGGGUACAGGUAGCACACGUGUUCCAGAAUGGCACAUGCCUGCACACCAAGCGUCUCCUUGCCCGCGUGUGCAGUUGCCCUUAUGUGUCCUUCCUCCACUGGGCACACCUCUCGGGUGUCCCCAGGUGUCCACGCCUAGCUGUGUAAGCGCUCAUCUGCAGGCAAGGGUUUAUUUCUUCACCACACACAUGUAUGUAGCGUUUGCUCAGGCCCAUCUACGUGCUUUACAACUGCGAAUUCGUUUCACCCGCUAACGACACUGAGACGCCCACUUCUAUUAGCCCAUCGUCCAGAUGAGCAAACAGCCCUGGAGAACUUAGGUCACUUGCUCAAGGCCACACGUCCGUGCAGUGUAGGCCAAGAUUCAGUCCCCCUCCACGGCUCUGAACCCGAUCUGAUGCCGUGCCCGUGAAGGUGUGUGGGCCUGCGCCGGGCUCACCGUGUAAAUGCGUGCAGGCGUGGGUACACCUUCUCAGUGUGCACACGAGACCACGUUCUCCAGGUCAUGGGUGCACAACCUCCAUGUGCGCGGAAGGACUCAGGUGCUGGAGAACAGGCUUGUGUCUGCACACGCACACCACUCACACACACAUACGUACACGCUCACAUGGGCCCUCAGUCUCCAUCUCAAGUCCCAGGCUCCAGCUCCCUUUCCCAGAGCCCCUUCCAGAUUGUUCUCCAUUUCCUCACUCUCAGUCCGCUGGAGAGGGAAGUGAAUCUACGGGUCUGGACUCGCCUGCCUCGGCCACCCCUGCUCACCCGCUUGCUGGCUCUGUGGGGGGCCUGGAGCCCCAGAGCUCUUCCCUCUGCCAGAGCCCCCACUGGGCUCCCUUCCCGCCCAUCUUCUGGGCUGGUCCGCACCCCAGGAAUCUGGGCUCCUCCAGGCUGCACUGGGCUGGGGACAGGACGCAUCCCCGGGGAGCAGAGUGACUGGACCGGAGGCCUCCCACGUGUUCCUGGCAGGAAACGCAUUUCCUCCUCUGGCCCUUCUCUUCCAGGCACUUGUCCCUCGCCUCCCUUCCAGCUCAUCUGCCCGCCCCCACCCCGCUGGGCUUCUGCGUCUGACCGUCAGCGGCUCCCAGCCCUGCCCAGUUUCAAGCCUGGGCUUGUGGGCCUGGGCGAGACUCUCCUGAAUUGGCCUCAUCAGAAGUACCCAGACUUCGAGCCAAGACCCCAGCGUCCUUGGCCUCCGCCCUGGGCCACCGGCACCUUUACCUGUCUCUGCGCCUUGCUUGGCUCACCCCCGUAUCCACUCUUUCCCUCUCCAGACGUUCCCAGCCAGGAGCCAGGGCCCAGGUCCUCCCUCUGCACUCAGCCGUCACCGGCCGCUCCUGGUCUCCGUGCCUCCUCCCUCUCUCCCUCCCUCCCGUGUGCUGCCAGCUCCAGGCCUGGCCCUUUGUUCCAGCUGAUGGCUGGUGCUGCCCGAGCACUGCUGCUCCCAGAGCCGUGGGCUUUCCCUGACCUUGUAACUUUGCUUUUGGUGAAUUUUGGUUCUUCAUCAAGAUGCUCUGCUGCCCUCCCCCCUUUCCCUCCCCUCCCCCCUUUCCCUCCCCCCUCUCUUUUUCUCCCUCUUGUUUUUCUGUGGCUGGGCUUUCGCCCAGAGGCUGUGGCCCGGAGCCUGGGCCUGUUCCCUCCGAGCUGUCACUUUAGGUACUUCAACAGCCUGACCCCUGGGCUGUUUUGCCUGCGACAAUCCCUGUUAACACGUGUCGUCCUGGGGUCAUUCUCAGUUGUGCCCCAUUUCAUUUUGUCCCCCAGAGUGUCCUGGGUUGGUCAGUAGAGGACGCGGUCAGCUUAUGUGUGGAGCGUUUAGGACAGUCCUGAGCACAGGAUCCAUGGGAUCGAUGGCUGGGGAGGUGACACAGCCACAGAGGAUCAGCUUGGGUGGCCUGGGGGUGCCUUAGUCACUGCGGAACAGAGACCUCAGCUCAUUCGCCCACUGCCCUGGGCCUCUCACAUGCCAGGCACUGGAGCAUCGUGCUGGGGGUGGGGUGAUGAGGAGGGAGACAGGGACACCGCCAGCAGCUCUGGAAAAUGAAGUCACGCCCAGGACUCGCCCUCGUAAGAAAUGCAAAGCAUUACCGCUGGGAUCGUGUUCCCCUUGCUUUGUUUGGCAAAUUAUGACAGUAUGUCACUGACCCAGCACAUUCUGAUUACCUAUUGUUCAAAUGAAAAAAAAGCAAAACAAAAACAAAAAGCAGGCCAGAAAACCGCUUCUGGUUAUGUGAUCGGUAUUUAGAAGUUUCCAUUCCAGAGUAGGCCUCAGGGCAGGGCCAGUCCCCAGGCUGUGUGGAGCCUUCACUGUCCCCAAGAUGCCAGGUAAUCGGCUUAUCUUUGCUGUACCUCCGUCGCACCCUGUCCCCCUGUCCCCGUCCUUAGCUGCGUGUGAAGGAUGUCAUGGGCCGUGGCUCUCCCAGGCAGGCAGCCUGCUCCGGCCACUGGUGGCGUUUUCUCGCAAACCUGCCCUUGUUCAGCGCGUGCUCAACGUGGAGGCUGAAGGGCACAGCUCUGGGUAGGGUUGACCAGCUCACCCCUCUUUGCCCAGGACUGUCCUCAUUUUAAAACUGGGAGUCUCAAGUCCUGGGAAAAUUGGACAGCUGGUCACCCUCCAGGAGCGAGUGAAGCCAGCCCUGUGUCCCCACGGUCAGCUCUGCUGUGUGAUGGCAGGUCCGUUGCUUGGGCACUCCGAGCCUCCGUUUCCUCUCCUGCGCAAGAGGCUUAACGGAGCCUGUCUCACAGGAUCACUGUGAGGUUCAGUAGUUAUGACGCCUCGCGAGUGGCGUGAGCCCUCCUUCCCCACUGGUGAUGAGUUACCUUAAGAUUUCUCCUGUGGGGCUUAGGCAGUAGUUGUUUUCCGGUGGUCCGAGUGGACCACCAGUCUCCCUUUAGAUGCCAGUCUGACCAUCUUAUCUUGGGGUGGCUGUAUGGAAGUGAAUUCUGAAUUCAGCCCUUGCCUUCUCCUCUAAGGCUUUUUGCAGCCAGUGCCCCCCGCCCCCCAUGCCCCCAGUUCCCUGAGCCAGCCCCUGGCCCGUGUGUAACCUGGACAUCACCUGGGAACAGGCAGGAGUGGACGAGGAGCUGACAGUUAUUGAGCCCCUUCACAUGUGGCAUCACGGGCUACGUGCUUCAUGUUUAAAUCCUCCCACGAAAAUCCUUACUUUCCAGAUGGAGACUUGAGGCUUGGGAAGGUGGAAUUAUUUCCCCAUCAUUAGAAAAACGUGUAAGCAGUGAGAUCCUGCUGUACAGUCCUGGGAACUAUAUCUAGUCACUUAUGAUGGAGCAGGAUAAUGUGAGAAAAAGGGAUUGUAUACAUGUAUCUGUGACUGGGUCACCUCGCUGUGCAGUAGGAAACUGACAGAACACUGUAAACCAGCUAUAAUGGAAAAAAUACAAAUCAUUAUUAAAAGAAGGUUAAAUUUUUUAAAUUUAAAUAGAAAAAAAAAGAAAAGAAAAGAAAAA